rnacentral:rRNA from 1 species
UACGAAGGGGGCUAGCGUUGCUCGGAAUUACUGGGCGUAAAGGGCGCGUAGGCGGGAUGGCAAGUCGGUCGUGAAAGCCUUCGGCUCAACCGAAGAACGUCGGCCGAUACUGCCGUUCUUGAGGGAUGCAGAGGAGACUGGAAUUCCCGGUGUAGCGGUGAAAUGCGUAGAUAUCAGGAGGAACACCUGUGGUGUAGACGGCUCUCUGGACCGCAACUGACGCUGAGACACGAAAGCGUGGGUAGCAAACAGG